GAUGAACGCUGGCGGCGUGCCUAAUACAUGCAAGUCGAGCGAACAGAUGAGGAGCUUGCUCCUCUGACGUUAGCGGCGGACGGGUGAGUAACACGUGGAUAACCUACCUAUAAGACUGGGAUAACUUCGGGAAACCGGAGCUAAUACCGGAUAAUAUAUUGAACCGCAUGGUUCAAUAGUGAAAGACGGUUUUGCUGUCACUUAUAGAUGGAUCCGCGCCGCAUUAGCUAGUUGGUAAGGUAACGGCUUACCAAGGCGACGAUGCGUAGCCGACCUGAGAGGGUGAUCGGCCACACUGGAACUGAGACACGGUCCAGACUCCUAAGGGAGGCAGCAGUAGGGAAUCUUCCGCAAUGGGCGAAAGCCUGACGGAGCAAAGCCGCGUGAGUGAUGAAGGUCUUCGGAUCGUAAAACUCUGUUAUUAGGGAAGAACAAAUGUGUAAGUAACUAUGCACGUCUUGACGGUACCUAAUCAGAAAGCCACGGCUAACUACGUG
rnacentral:rRNA from 1 species